rnacentral:lncRNA from 1 species
AAGCAAGGAAAGAACCGCUACGCUUACCCGCUCCCCCACCUUGGUGCUGGUGUCUGCUCAACUCAAUUUAUACAAUUAUUUGCUGCGUUCACUUUUUCAGUUUUAUCUUCCGUCUCCAAAGCAACGUUUAGCAUCACCGUGGCCAAUAUGAGAAAUAGAAACAUUGGCCUGAUUGGCUUGUGGUUUGGUACCAGCCUGUGGUUAUUUUGUUAGGCUGCACAUGGUUAUCUAUUGACACAAACCUGUUAUAAAGUUUAUUCCUCGCAUGUCCAUGUCGUGCAGGUGGCAAUAAUCAACCACAGAGCAAUUUUGACCUACUAGGAGGGUUUGGAGGGCCACCCAUGACACAACCCACCACACAACCCAUGACACAACCACAGACACAACAGCCCUCGGGGUCAACAGACUGGGGAGAUUUUACAAGUGCACAAACUGGGAGCAGCAAUCCUGGCUGGGUGACAUUUUGAGUUCGCACUGAUGGCCAAUCAGAAGCCAAAUAACAGUAGGUUGAAGCAGCUCAUCCAAGUAUCUUUGUGCUUUCACACCCAAGUAGAUGUCACAGCUGCACAAUUGGCUGAAAGGAUCUGUGUGGGCGGAGCCAAAGCUCUUGCAACUUGCAUUAAACAACCCGUCGUCCAAUCUCUGCUUUUGUCACAGUUUAGGCAUUGUAGCUCCAGUAAAGUGAUAUUCUAUUGGGUGAAGCAGAUUUAAGCAAGGAAUUGUCCAAAUCGGUGUUGAUAUUUAUAAGGAAAAGAUUGGUUUAAAAGUCUAACCAUCAAUUUUGGAAAAUCAGACGUGAGGAAUUGCUUUUUCUAAAUAGCAUAUUGUACAAAUGUAACAUAGUUGGAGGGGAAGCGAGUACAUUUAUGCCAUAGUUCCCACAGAUUUUAGGAGAUUGCAAAAUAAUUUGAUAUAUGUGCAGUUCACAAAGGAACUGAUGAUGGUCAAUCUACUUGAAAUAAGCCAUGUGAUGUUUAUCAUGUAGCAUACGAAUUGAGCAAGUUAUUUGUGCAAAAAAUAAGUAAAUUUGAAUAUGAAAUACAUUCCAACCCAUUGCAAAUCAUAAUUGAGGUACAUUAUGCAGCAAGACAUGGAAACGUUUUACUCACUGACAUAAUAUGAACAUGUCACGCAGAAAGAGAACACAACCAGUUUCUGCCCCACUUAAGCAUUCAGCCAAUGAAGAUGCUUAGCUAGAUCAUAACUAUGCAUCAAGUGCAUGCAUAGCAUGAAUAUUCAACAGCACUCUAAUCUGGCUUCCCUCGUGCAGUAGCUGUAGGGAUUGUAAAUUUGGGACAAAAAGUUGGCGGGCAAGUUACCCCAAAGUCUCAUGUCGUGUAUUGUACAAAAGGGGAUCAGGAAUCCUUGUAUGCAGAUGCAGAUGUACAAAAGAAUUUGAUUUUGAGUGUCGGGUACCGUAGGCAUAUGGUUCUAUGCCUUCAUGCACUUCAAUACAAAGUACUGUACAUUUUUAUUUUCACUGUACCAACCAAUCUAUGAGGCACAUGGAAACUUGUAACUCUUCAGCUUAUGUUAUUAAACUUACUGUUUUAACGAACGGUUCACUGCCUCUGUUGAGAGAGACCUCUCUGGUUCAUACCGUGUUGUUUGCAGUUCGCAGCAACACGGGGCAGGCGUUCGGUGAUUGAUGGGACAGUUUUGACUGCUUCAAGCUUAUGUUACAGUCAAGUCUGUCUCUGGUCAUAGCAAGCCGUCACUAGUCAGCUCUAGAUGGUCCAAUCACAAGCUAUCGUAAUGAACAGGGACAAUCUAUCAUAGUUAGUCCCUCUAGUCCUUGCCAUCUGACUUGUGACAGGACUUGUGAUGGGUUGGACUUAAUUGCGCCCUGCCAUCGUUAGUGGGCCCGUAUGCAGUACAUUUUGCCUUGUCUUUCAGCUCAUGAUCCAGGGUGCAAAACAGGCCUUUGACUCAACUGUACGGCCGUGUCCGAAACGGGCUUCCAGAGGUCUAUUGUCUGUGCGUCUCCGUGCAUUUCCAAUGGAACGAAGACCUAGACCUAGCUCUAGACAACAGAGUCUGAUGCAGCCUAAACGAAGCCAUCAAGAAACUCAAAAGGUUUUUCACACAGCUCCCACAGCACAGAAACUUGCAUAGCACAGAAUGACGUAUGCUAAUAGAUAGAACAGGUUACCAGCCGAAGUACCAUACGCAACAUAUACCCUACCAUACGUUACUGCUUCCCUGCUCAUUUAUGCUUGGAACACGAACUUGCAAAGCGUUGCUUUCUCCAUGGGACCUCCCUGACGUUGGGCGCUCAUCUAAAACAAUUUCGCCAGGACUUUCUGCAGAACUAUGAGACUUGACACACCUUCAGGAAACAUGUUGGUUUGGUUACAGAUAAACAUUAUACAUGUGCUUUGAAAAUCGGUACAGUUAUUUCAGAAUGUCAACCGUAUGUUCAGUUCUUUUGCUUGGGGGGAUUAAUGUAUUGUUGUAUAUCCAAUAAUUAUGUGACGAUAAAUGACAUUGAUUAUUCAAAUCAUGUACAUGUAUUGAAAUUACGUGUCAUUCAGUAUGACCGUCUUUGUUGUGCGUUUUGGAAAUAGUCUCUCCUCGCCUGAUUGGUUUUUGGUUUGUUCAAGACAUCACAUAAGAGAUGUGUACAGAUAUAGCAAUCAAACCUCAUAGGUUCUGUUGACUUUAAUGGUAUCUAGAAAGGGUUUAGGUGUACAAUCGAACCUCGUUAAUUCGUGUACAUGUAACAGGUCCAUUGGACUUAGCAGCUUACUUUGUUAUACCAGAAACCUUGUACUAUAUUAUCAAGAAUGAAAAUAAUGAAGAACAAAAGACUGGAAGUUAAAAAUGUCCUUUAUGUGCUCUUAUUAGCAAGGUUCGACUGUAUAAUCGUAUCUAUAUGGCCCUGGGGCUGGUUAUUUCUCAUUUUUUUUCCUUAACGUUUCUUAAGUUGGUUAAUUAAGUUAAUUUUGUAGUUAGUAAAAUGGUUACUCAGAAGCGGUGAAUGCCUUGCCCUCGCCGUUGUUGAUCAAUGUACAUUACUCAAAUCAGGUGUUGUGUUAUAAAUUUACCGGUGGUACUGACUUGCGAGCUGGGAAUGUACAGUAGGUUUGAGGAUGGCCCAUCCAGCCGUGUAGCCGAAAGUACAUGCAAUGUCUGAGUCUGAAAAUGAUACGUGAAGUCUGGGAAGCCACUGGCGAGGAGUCUAGUUGCAGCCGCUUCCCUUAUACUUGUGUGUUAGUUAUUUUCAUCCACAGUCGCAACGUUCGGACACGGCUUUAUCCAUGCUCGCCAGGAGGGUUUAGGCAUCUCUUGGUGGCAGCAGACUCAACUGGUAGUCUGCCGCUUGUUUCCCCCCCCCCCUUCCCUGUUGUGCAAACGAACAGCGUGAUGUAAAGCUGAACUCUAAUUACAGUGGUUCUUUAUUUCUUAAAUAUUAUCGUUCUGGUCAUGUUUUAGCCGAAAGUGUAAAGCAGAUUUGGUCGUUGUACCACCGUUAUCAACCACCACUGAAGGAAAUAUGCACCAAGAGGCCGUUCUCGCUUCGCUACGUCUCUCGCAAGACACAAAUGGUUGUAUAUUAAUGUAUCGUUUCAGUUCGGUAUUCAUCUAGCAAGCAGAAGCUUACAAGUGACACCAUUGUUCCAUUUAGCUUGUUUCCAUGAUGUACAUUUAUGUGAAAUAGAUAUUGUAACAGUACUCGUAUAUGAAUUAUCACAAAGUGUAUAUUUUUCAAAUAUUUCCCGAAGUAUGUCGUCAGUUCGGGCGUCAGAAACAGUUCGUUGCAUGUUCACCAUUCUACCCCACAAUACAGGAAAGGGGGAAAUCGUUGUAAUUGUACAUGUAGGCCAGUGCGGUAUAUUAGGCUAUGGCUGGAUAGUUGUCGGGAAAAUAAAAAAAGAGAAUUGAUUAACCACAGUGAAAUAA